rnacentral:tRNA from 1 species
GGAAGAAUGGCCCAGUGGUUAGGGCACUAGCCUGGGAUUUGGGAGGCCUGGGUUCAAUUCCUUGCUCUGCCA